rnacentral:tRNA from 1 species
GCCUCCAUCGUCUAGGGGACUAGGACGCAGCCCUUUCAAGGCUAAAACCAGAGUUCGAAUCUCUGUGGAGGCA